rnacentral:rRNA from 1 species
UACAGAGGUCUCAAGCGUUGUUCGGAUUCAUUGGGCGUAAAGGGUGCGUAGGCGGCGCGGAAAGUCGUGUGUGAAAUCUCGGAGCUUAACUCCGAACCUGCAUUCGAUACUGCCGUGCUUGAGGACUGGAGAGGAGACUGGAAUUUACGGUGUAGCGGUGAAAUGCGUAGAUAUCGUAAGGAAGACCAGUGGCGAAGGCGGGUCUCUGGACAGUUCCUGACGCUGAGGCACGAAGGUCAGGGGAGCAAACGGG